rnacentral:rRNA from 1 species
AGAGUUGAUCCUGGCUUAGGAUGAACGCUAGCGACAGGCUUAACACAUGCAAGUCGAGGGGCAGCAUAAAAGUAGCAAUACUUGGUGGCGACCGGCGCACGGGUGAGUAACGCGUAUGCAACCUACCUAUCGAGAGGGGAAUAACCCGGCGAAAGUCGGACUAAUACCGCAUAAAACAGGGGCACCGCAUGGUGAUAUUGUUAAAGAAAUUCGCUGAUAGAUGGGCAUGCGUUCCAUUAGGUAGUUGGUGAGGUAACGGCUCACCAAGCCGACGAUGGAUAGGGGAACUGAGAGGUUGGUCCCCCACACUGGUACUGAGACACGGACCAGACUCCUACGGGAGGCAGCAGUGAGGAAUAUUGGUCAAUGGGCGGGAGCCUGAACCAGCCAAGUCGCCGUGAAGGAAGAAGGAUCUAUGGUUCGUAAACUUCUUUUGCAGGGGAAUAAAGUGCAGGACGUGUCCUGUUUUGUAUGUACCCUGAGAAUAAGGAUCGGCUAACUCCGUGCCAGCCGCCGC